rnacentral:lncRNA from 1 species
UUCUGAGGUGGUUUUAGGGUAAAAGUGAGGGGAAUUGGUGUGCUAUGGUGGUUUUGGGGUGAGACUGGGGGGAAUUGGGGUCCUGUGGUGGUUUUGGGGUGAAAGUGAGGAGAAUUGGGGUCCUGAGUUGUUUGGAGGCAUUUUGGGGUGAAAUUGAGGGAAAACGAACACUUGGGAUGAUUUUGGGGUAAAAUGAGGUGGAAAAGGGAGUUUUGGGGCACAUGGGCACAAAUUUUGGGGUCGUUUUUGGGGUGUAAUAGGGGAAAAAAGGGGUUUCCCUGCCCAUUUUGGGGGUAGAAGUGAGGGAAAAUGGGGGGUUGGGUGUAUUUUGGGGUAUAAUGGAGCGAAAAUGGGAUUUUCUGUGUCCUGGGUCAUUUUUGGGGUUAGAGCUGAGGAAAAAGGGGUUCCCCACUGCAACUUGGAGUAAUAAUGAGGAAAAAUGGGGUAAAAUUAAAUGAAAAAGGGAUUUUUGGGGUGUAUUUUAGGUAUAAUGUGAGGAAAAACAGAUUUCUGUCGCAAUUUCUGGGUCAAAACUGAAGGGGAAUUUGGAGUGUAACAUGGAGGAAAGAGGGCUUCUCCAGUCCAUUUUUGGGGCCAUGUUACGGCGCAUUUUGGGGGGUCCUCGUGGACCCCCGGCGCUGCCCCCCCGCCCCGCAUCGCGCUCAGCUGCCGACCAGCACCCCCCAGACCUGGCUCGGGAACGUUCCAAAACUGUCACCUCCUUCUACAACCAACCCGCCAUCGACGCCGCUGCCGAGAAGGUGGGGUACUGAGGGGGGGGGGAUUUGGGGUGAAUUUGGGGUGUUUUGGGGGUGUUGGGAGGGUUGCUGUGGUGGUUUGGGGGGGAUUUGGGGUGUUUGGGGGGGGGUUCGUUGGGGUCUUGUGGCUUGGAUGAUGUUGUGUUGGGGUCUUGUGGCUUUGAAGAUACGGUGUUGUUACCCAUCAGGUUGUCCUUGGGGGUGAGGACAUGAGGGAGGUCUUGGGGGUGUUCUGUGGGGUU